GAUGAACGCUGGCGGCGUGCCUAAUACAUGCAAGUCGAGCGAACGGACGAGAAGCUUGCUUCUCUGAUGUUAGCGGCGGACGGGUGAGUAACACGUGGAUAACCUACCUAUAAGACUGGGAUAACUUCGGGAAACCGGAGCUAAUACCGGAUAAUAUUUUGAACCGCAUGGUUCAAAAGUGAAAGACGGUCUUGCUGUCACUUAUAGAUGGAUCCGCGCUGCAUUAGCUAGUUGGUAAGGUAACGGCUUACCAAGGCAACGAUGCAUAGCCGACCUGAGAGGGUGAUCGGCCACACUGGAACUGAGACACGGUCCAGAAUCCUACGGGAGGCAGCAGUAGGGAAUCUUCCGCAAUGGGCGAAAGCCUGACGGAGCAACGCCGCGUGAGUGAUGAAGGUCUUCGGAUCGUAAAACUCUGUUAUUAGGGAAGAACAUAUGUGUAAGUAACUGUGCACAUCUUGACGGUACCUAAUCAGAAAGCCACGGCGAACUACGU
rnacentral:rRNA from 1 species